rnacentral:lncRNA from 1 species
CCCACGUUAAAUUACGAGGAAAUAGCAAGGCCCGUGUUUUCAUUUUACGAGGAAAUAGCAAGGCCCGCGUUUUCCGGUUACGAGGUCUUUACGACGAUUUCUGCUUACAUGGAAUUAACGAACCCCGCUCUUUAUUUUUUAAUUUCGUCGUUAUUUCGUCGUUAUUUUACGAGGAAAUUACGAGGAUUAUGUUUAAAUCCCUAAAAUCUGAAACCCCAAACCCCAUCUUCCUUGUCUUCUACUUCAUAUAUUCCAAACCC